AUGUGCAGUGCUGCGAGCGCGCCGGUGGCCGCCCUUCCCCCACCAGCAGCGGCGAGUGGAUGACAGAGCCCCCGUCUCCGCGCGUCUUUGCCGCCCCGCGCCGUGACCCACUGUGGCACUGGGCCACGAGUGGAGGCUGCGCCCCUCCAGUUCUGCCUUCAUAGUUCUCUGCCUUUCCCAAAAACUGCAGAAAAUGAACAAAUCCCAGCCUCUCUUUUUUGGAUUACUGUUGUUUUAUUGAAGUACAUGCUUCAGUAGCUUCUUGAGAAAGGGUUUGUGAGAGGGAUCAGUUUCAUUCACGGAUGUGACUGUGGACUUUACCCAGGAGGAAUGGGAACAGCUGGACCCCUCUCAGAGGAUCCUAUACAUGGAUGUGAUGCUGGAGAACUAUAGCAACUUACUUUCAGUGGAAGUGUGGAAGGCUGAUGACCAGAUGGAAAGAGACCACAGAAACCCAGACGAGCAGGCAAGGCAAUUUUUAAUUCUUAAGAACCAAACCCCAAUUGAGGAAAGAGGCGAUCUCUUUGGAAGAGCACUUAAUCUGAACACAGACUUUGUUU
rnacentral:sRNA from 1 species